CCACCUCGGGUUGUGUCCCAACCCCCAAGUGUUUGUUUGAAAUAAGACCAAGGCACCUCUACUGUGCUUGAGUCUCGAUGUCUUGUAAUGGAUACUCUCCCCUACAACUGCCGAUUUGUCGCUUACCAGCCAACCCGCGGUCCAAAACAUAAUGAGCAUCUUGGGAGAAAUCUCCAUUUUCUAUGAAGUGCAUCCAAAAAGAGCCAAGUGCCUGAAGGCAACAAUAGAUGAAAUACAACCUGAUUAAUCAUGCAAGAAGCUAAAAGAUUUAUGCCUCACUUGAUGGGUCCAGUGCUUAGAUCCUCUGACAACUUUCUUGCAACUAUACCCUGCUGUUGUGUGUCGUUUAGAGACUAUCACAGAGGAACAUGCGAGUUGGUUAUCCGAUUCCUUCAGUGAUGCCAAGACCUUCUUGCUAUCCAUCACCAGCACAGAGUUCAUCUUGGCAUUGGAGAUGACCAACUGUGGGUUGAGCUAUCUGAGGAGUCUGAAAUCCAACUUGCAAGUAGAAGUCAAGAACAUCAUGGAGGCUUUCUCCAAGAUCAACUCAGUGAUGAAUGCUCUAAAAGAAGAAGUCUGUCAGUAUAUCAACACCUCCUCUCCCAUCUGAUGGCCCAGCAAUACCAGCAGAAAAGUCUCCACUCAAAAAUAUUGUUUCUGUUGCAAAUCUGAUGUCUUUCCUAAUGCCUUUAAUCUCACUUGUUAAAGCAAUAUAUAGUAGAAGUCCAAAAAUCCAGAUGCCAGAAAUCCGGACCACCCGAGAACCCGGACUUUUCGAAAACUCUAAAAC